UUUUUGCGUUAGGGAUAGAAGCGGAUAGCCCACAGCCUGACGAAGGAAGUGCGAGGACUUGUAGCGGAUAGCCCGUUCGCCG
rnacentral:sRNA from 1 species